rnacentral:rRNA from 1 species
CACGUAGGGGGCGAGCGUUGUCCGGAUUUAUUGGGCGUAAAGAGCUCGUAGGCGGCUCAGUAAGUCGGGUGUGAAACCUCCAGGCUCAACCUCGGAACUGCCUUCGAUACUGCGGGUCUCGAGUCCGGGAGAGGUGAGUGGAAUUCCUAGUGUAGAGGUGAAAUUCGUAGAUAUUAGGGAAAGAACACCAGUGGCGAAGGCGGCUCACUGGCCCGGUACUGACGCUGAGGCGCGAAAGCGUGGGGAGCAAACAGG